GGGCGAGUGUCGGAACUGGUAGACGAUCACGCCUCAAAAGCGUGUGGGAGCAAUCCCGUGAGGGUUCGACCCCCUCCUCGCCCA
rnacentral:tRNA from 1 species